UAAUUCUCUAUAUAUUAAUACCCCAUGGUGCAUACACUUUUAUAUCUUCCAAGUUAUAAUUUUAAGUUUAUCCGUGGCUCGGACAGUCACUGUAUAAGCUACGGUUCAAACGCAAAACUGCCCAAAAAUGGUAAAAUAGUUUAUUUUGAAAAAAAUAGAGUGUUCAAAGCAGGCUCUCGAGCCUGGAUAACGGUGCAUGGAAUAAUGGAAUAAGACCUCGGUUCUGUUUUGUUGGUUUUCGGAGCGCGAGGUAAUGAUUAAGAGGGACAGACGGGGUCAUUCGUACUGUGCCGGUAGAGGUGAAAUUCUUGGAUCGGCGCAAAUUGAACGACUGCGAAAGCAUUUGCCAAAAAUGUUUUCUUUAAUCAA
rnacentral:ncRNA from 1 species